GAUGAACGCUGGCGGCGUGCCUAAUACAUGCAAGUCGAGCGAACGGACGAGAAGCUUGCUUCUCUGAUGUUAGCGGCGGACGGGUGAGUAACACGUGGAUAACCUACCUAUAAGACUGGGAUAACUUCGGGAAACCGGAGCUAAUACCGGAUAAUAUUUUGAACCGCAUGGUUCAAAAGUGAAAGACGGUCUUGCUGUCACUUAUAGAUGGAUCCGCGCUGCAUUAGCUAGUUGGUAAGGUAACGGCUUACCAAGGCAACGAUGCAUAGCCGACCUGAGAGGGUGAUCGGCCACACUGGAACUGAGACACGGUCCAGACUCCUACGGGAGGCAGCAGUAGGGAAUCUUCCGCAAUGGGCGAAAGCCUGACGGAGCAACGCCGCGUGAGUGAUGAAGGUCUUCGGAUCGUAAAACUCUGUUAUUAGGGAAGAACAUAUGUGUAAGUAACUGUGCACAUCUUGACGGUACCUAAUCAGAAAGCCACGGCUAACUACGUGCCAGCAGCCGCGGUAAUACGUAGGUGGCAAGCGUUAUCCGGAAUUAUUGGGCGUAAAGCGCGCGUAGGCGGUUUUUUAAGUCUGAUGUGAAAGCCCACGGCUCAACCGUGGAGGGUCAUUGGAAACUGGAAAACUUGAGUGCAGAAGAGGAAAGUGGAAUUCCAUGUGUAGCGGUGAAAUGCGCAGAGAUAUGGAGGAACACCAGUGGCGAAGGCGACUUUCUGGUCUGUAACUGACGCUGAUGUGCGAAAGCGUGGGGAUCAAACAGGAUUAGAUACCCUGGUAGUCCACGCCGUAAACGAUGAGUGCUAAGUGUUAGGGGGUUUCCGCCCCUUAGUGCUGCAGCUAACGCAUUAAGCACUCCGCCUGGGGAGUACGACCGCAAGGUUGAAACUCAAAGGAAUUGACGGGGACCCGCACAAGCGGUGGAGCAUGUGGUUUAAUUCGAAGCAACGCGAAGAACCUUACCAAAUCUUGACAUCCUUUGACAACUCUAGAGAUAGAGCUUUCCCCUUCGGGGGACAAAGUGACAGGUGGUGCAUGGUUGUCGUCAGCUCGUGUCGUGAGAUGUUGGGUUAAGUCCCGCAACGAGCGCAACCCUUAAGCUUAGUUGCCAUCAUUAAGUUGGGCACUCUAAGUUGACUGCCGGUGACAAACCGGAGGAAGGUGGGGGUGACGUCAAAUCAUCAUGCCCCUUAUGAUUUGGGCUACACACGUGCUACAAUGGACAAUACAAAGGGCAGCGAAACCGUGAGGUCAAGCAAAUCCCAUAAAGUUGUUCUCAGUUCGGAUUGUAGUCUGCAACUCGACUACAUGAAGCUGGAAUCGCUAGUAAUCGUAGAUCAGCAUGCUACGGUGAAUACGUUCCCGGGUCU
rnacentral:rRNA from 1 species